rnacentral:rRNA from 1 species
GUCGAACGGAAAGGCCCUGCUUGCAGGGUACUCGAGUGGCGAACGGGUGAGUAACACGUGGGUGAUCUGCCCUGCACUUCGGGAUAAGCUUGGGAAACUGGGUCUAAUACCGGAUAGGAACCAUCUUUAGUGUGGUGGUUGGAAAGUUUUUUCGGUGUAGGGUGAGCUCGCGGCCUAUCAGCUUGUCGGUGGGGUAAUGGCCUACCAAGGCGGCGACGGGUAGCCGGCCUGAGAGGGUGUACGGCCACAUUGGGACUGAGAUACGGCCCAGACUCCUACGGGAGGCAGCAGUGGGGAAUAUUGCACAAUGGGCGCAAGCCUGAUGCAGCGACGCCGCGUGGGGGAUGAAGGCCUUCGGGUUGUAAACUCCUUUCGCUAGGGACGAAGCUUUUUGGUGACGGUACCUAGAUAAGAAGCACCGGCUAACUACGUGCCAGCAGCCGCGGUAAUACGUAGGGUGCGAGCGUUGUCCGGAAUUACUGGGCGUAAAGGGCUCGUAGGUGGUUUGUCGCGUCGUCUGUGAAAUUCUGGGGCUUAACUCCGGGCGUGCAGGCGAUACGGGCAUAACUUGAGUGCUGUAGGGGUAACUGGAAUUCCUGGUGUAGCGGUGAAAUGCGCAGGUAUCAGGAGGAACACCGAUGGCGAAGGCAGGUU